UAUUCGAACAUUGUCAAUUUAAACAUUAACAUUUGUAUGUACCCAUAUGUUUUUACGUCAAAAAGGAAAUGCAAAACAAACAUAAACAAUUGACAUCAAAGCUUUUUGAUAUUUCAAUAAUAAAAAUGGCACAAUCCAUGGAUAUUUCGGUGGAAUCAGCCAUUGACUAUGUAAUUCAAGACAUCACCUACGGUGAGAUCUUUCAACCGCCGCUAACACUGUCGGAGAGUUUGACUCGAAAUGCAUGUCGAAUAGAUUUUAGCAUAGAUUUGGAUGAGUCGGAUCCAUCAAAGGGUGGUGUCAUAUCAAAAGCUAUGGCAAUCAACGAGGAAAAAGAUGAUGAACAAAUGAAGGAUGCGUAUCGCUUCAGUGCCAAUCUAUGGCCAAGAGUUUGUAUAUAAAUGUAUGUGAGAUAGAAAGACAGAGUGUGUAUGUUUGGCCGAAUGAAUGCAUGAGUGAAUGAGUGAGUGAGUGAGAGAUGAUUGGAAAACCAUUGGGAAUGUAAGAAUCCAAAUAGUUUGACCAGACAUAGGAAAAAACAAAUUGCUGACAAAUAUUUGUGAUUUGGUAGUAGAGAGAUGAGCCCUUCUACACACAUCAGCAUUGAAGCAACGUCACAGCGACAACACGGUGCUGCGAAUGUACGGAAUUAUGACAGCAGUAACACACAAAGAGAGAGAGAAAGAGAAAGAGCCAGUCAGUGAAAAGAAGAUGUAUUCAGUUGGUCGCUACGAAGAACCACAAAACUGCGUUUGAAUUGAAAAGGAUUGAAAUGUUAACAAACAAAAUGGCGUCAUGCCCACCAAGGCACAAUGAAUGCUGUCACUACGCAAUAAUGCUAACAAUACGUUCGAUUGUUUUCCAAUUCGAGCAAAAAAACUUACCGUUACCGGCUCUGUGCAUGUGCAAACAUUAAACUAGAACUACAGUGCUUGUAGCCAUAGCAAGUCGAUUCAAAGUGAGACACGCAGACGCAGACAUUGAACAACAAUUGAAGUGAUCGGACGCAUACAUUAUUUUGUCUUCUUGAUCUGUCGAUACAGUUUAUAAACUAUAGUUUUAAAAUAUUUAUUGUUCGAUGAAAAUCGACGAAAAAGUUUUGUUUAAAGUGUGCUGAAUUUUAGUUGAAAGAAGAUGAAACGGCGUCGCAAACCCUCUUCUGUUCAACAGAAAAAAAACUCGGCAAACUUCGGCAAAAAAACCAUUGAAACGCCAAAAUCAAAUGAGAACAAAACGAGGUGAAACAACGAUAAAAACCUAGAAAAAUUCACCGUGGUGAUGACACUGAAGACAAGCAACGUCUGAAUGAUAUGAUUGAAAGAGCUGUGGUCAAUUUCUCAAAAAUGUUCCGAUUGGCAUCGCUUUAUGUGCUCAGCAUAUUGAAUCGGUUGGUUGACAGUGGUUCCGAUGUCGAAAUCCGUGGUGAAUUUUCGACCAAGUUCAAUGCAUCCAAAUAUUUCAGAGCGCUGAAAAAAAAAAAAACACAGCAUACAACACUACCAUCACUUACAAUGGCAAAUAAUGUAAAAAACUGCAU